CGCGGGAAAUCUUACCGGGUCCGGACACACUGAGGAUUGACAGAUAUACGCUCAUUUGCAUGUGCUUCGGCGCUGCAUUUGAGCUGAAAGAUGCUAGUUCUUUCAUGAUUAUGUGAUAGGUGGUGCAUGGCCGUUCUUAGUUCGUGGAGUGAUCUGUCUGCUUAAUUGCGUAUCAAUAAUAGAGACCUAGUAUACGCGUGGAUUUCGCGUGGUAGUGACCCCCUGUUCGCGCAGGCGUGUGUCGCACACGCGUGCCGCGCACUGGUCUCAGAUAGCAACGAACGUGACCGUAUUCUAUUGUUGCAGUGAAAUGUACUUUCGAGUACGACCCACUGCUUAGUAUAUGCACGUGCUUCGGUGCGAGCAAUAUACAUUAAACUAUAGAGACCGCUGUUUCUUCUUUAAACCAGAGGAAGGAUACGGCAAUAACAGGUCUGUGAUGCCCUCAGAUGUUCCGGGCUGCACACGUGCUACAAUGAUCAUUGCACUGUGCAUCUAACCCAAUGUGCGUGGACGCCGCAUGUAUGUACUCCUUGUGGGUACACGCAUUGCUGAGCGACCACGCCGAACCUACUUCGAAAGUAAAAUUUCUCUGUGGGUAAUCCAUUAGAAGUAAUGACUCGCAUAGACCAUGGCACAACUAUAUGUACGCGCAGGUCUACCCGGCUCGCCUUUGUGUGAGUGCAGUGCGUAGCUUGUUGUUUCGUACGUGCCACUCCGUAUUAAUUCGUACGUGGGGAUAGAUCAUUGUUUAAUUGUUGGUCUCGGUCUUAACUAGGAAUGCCUUGUACGGGUCUCUGGUUCAACAUACCACCCGGAAUACGUCCCUGCCCUUUGUACACACCGCCCGUCGCUCUUACCGAUGGAUUAUGCUAUGAAUCUAUAGGACUGCCAAAGUUGCCUCGGCUGCUUAGUGGAAAUAUAUAUGAAUAGCGUGAUCUAAAG
rnacentral:rRNA from 1 species